AGAACUUAGCAGAGAUGCUUUGGUGCCUUCGGGAACUCUGAGACAGGUGCUGCAUGGCUGUCGUCAGCUCGUGCUGUGAAAUGUUGGGUUAAGUCCCGCAACGAGCGCAACCCUUAUCCUUUGUUGCCAGCGGCUCGGCCGGGAACUCAAAGGAGACUGCCGGUGAUAAACCGGAGGAAGGUGGGGAUGACGUCAAGUCAUCAUGGCCCUUACGGCCAGGGCUACACACGUGCUACAAUGGCGCAUACAAAGAGAAGCGACCUCGCGAGAGCAAGCGGACCUCAUAAAGUGCGUCGUAGUCCGGAUUGGAGUCUGCAACUCGACUCCAUGAAGUCGGAAUCGCUAGUAAUCGUAGAUCAGAAUGCUACGGUGAAUACGUUCCCGGGCCUUGUACACACCGCCCAUCACACCAUGGGAGUGGGUUGCAAAAGAAGUAGGUAGCUUAACCUUCGGGAGGGCGCUUACCACUUUGUGAUUCAUGACUGGGGUGAAGUCGUAACAAGGUAAGCGUACGUGU
rnacentral:rRNA from 1 species